GACAGAGGGUGCGAACGUUGCUCGGAAUUACUGGGCGUAAAGCGCGUGCAGGCGGCCCUGCACGUCCGGUGUGAAAGCCCGGGGCUCAACCCCCGGAAGCGCGCUGGAAACGACGGGGCUGGAGGGCUGGAGAGGCGGGCGGAAUUCCCGGUGUAGAGGUGAAAUUCGUAGAUAUCGGGAGGAACACCGGUGGCGAAAGCGGCUCACUGGACCAUAACUGACGCUGAUGCACGAAACGCUAGGGGAGCAAACAGG
rnacentral:rRNA from 1 species